UACGUAGGGUGCGAGCGUUGUCCGGAAUUAUUGGGCGUAAAGAGCUCGUAGGCGGUGUGUCACGUCGGCCGUGAAAACCUGCAGCUUAACUGUGGGCGUGCGGUCGAUACGGGCAUCACUGGAGUUCGGCAGGGGAGACUGGAAUUCCUGGUGUAGCGGUGAAAUGCGCAGAUAUCAGGAGGAACACCAGUGGCGAAGGCGGCCGCCUGGACCUGACCUGACGCUGAGGCGCGAAGGCGCGGGGAGCGAACGGG
rnacentral:rRNA from 1 species